rnacentral:lncRNA from 1 species
AAGAAAAGAGUCAUAGUGGUUGAAGUUUCUCAAGAGACUAAAAAUAUUGAUUGUCCUUCUCUCAAACGACAUGAAUCAAGUAAGGAACCAACCAUGACAAUUUCUCAUCCCCUACAAUUCCUGUCUUGAUAGACAUUCCAUUAUUUCCUGAUGAAUCUAUCCAUCGGUCAGACUCUCCAAUACAAUUGUCUAGUCCUCAACAGUUAAAGAACCAAAGUCCCACAGAGGUAUUACAUUUGGCCCAAACUAUUACCUCUCCCAAUAUUACAUCUUGUGUUGCCCCCUCCACUGAAACAUGAGGGAUCUUUCCUUGGCAUGAUCUUUUGGAAUCAGUGCCAACCUCC